UGAAAUUGAACUCGCUGUGAAGAUGCAGUGUACCCGCGGCAAGACGGAAAGACCCCGUGAACCUUUACUAUAGCUUGACACUGAACAUUGAGCCUUGAUGUGUAGGAUAGGUGGGAGGCUUUGAAGUGUGGACGCCAGUCUGCAUGGAGCCGACCUUGAAAUACCACCCUUUAAUGUUUGAUGUUCUAACGUGGACCCGUGAUCCGGGUUGCGGACAGUGUCUGGUGGGUAGUUUGACUGGGGCGGUCUCCUCCUAAAGAGUAACGGAGGAGCACGAAGGUUGGCUAAUCCUGGUCGGACAUCAGGAGGUUAGUGCAAUGGCAUAAGCCAGCUUGACUGCGAGCGUGACGGCGCGAGCAGGUGCGAAAGCAGGUCAUAGUGAUCCGGUGGUUCUGAAUGGAAGGGCCAUCGCUCAACGGAUAAAAGGUACUCCGGGGAUAACAGGCUGAUACCGCCCAAGAGUUCAUAUCGACGGCGGUGUUUGGCACCUCGAUGUCGGCUCAUCACAUCCUGGGGCUGAAGUAGGUCCCAAGGGUAUGGCUGUUCGCCAUUUAAAGUGGUACGCGAGCUGGGUUUAGAACGUCGUGAGACAGUUCGGUCCCUAUCUGCCGUGGGCGCUGGAGAACUGAGGGGGGCUGCUCCUAGUACGAGAGGACCGGAGUGGACGCAUCACUGGUGUUCGGGUUGUCAUGCCAAUGGCACUGCCCGGUAGCUAAAUGCGGAAGAGAUAAGUGCUGAAAGCAUCUAAGCACGAAACUUGCCCCGAGAUGAGUUCUCCCUGACCCUUUAAGGGUCCUGAAGGAACGUUGAAGACGACGACGUUGAUAGGCCGGGUGUGUAAGCGCAGCGAUGCGUUGAGCUAACCGGUACUAAUGAACCGUGAGGCUUAACCUUACAACGCCGAAGGUGUUU
rnacentral:rRNA from 1 species